GUAGUGGCUCAGUGGUAGAACACUUGCCUGGCAUGUGUGAGGCCCUGGGUUUGAAUCUCAGCACCACA
rnacentral:tRNA from 1 species